GAUGAACGCUGGCGGCGUGCCUAAUACAUGCCAGUCGAGCGAACGGACGAGAAGCUUGCUUCUCUGAUGUUAGCGGCGGACGGGUGAGUAACACGUGGAUAACCUACCUAUAAGACUGGGAUAACUUCGGGAAACCGGAGCUAAUACCGGAUAAUAUUUUGAACCGCAUGGUUCAAAAGUGAAAGACGGUCUUGCUGUCACUUAUAGAUGGAUCCGCGCUGCAUUAGCUAGUUGGUAAGGUAACGGCUUACCAAGGCAACGAUGCAUAGCCGACCUGAGGGGGUGAUCGGCCACACUGGAACUGAGACACGGUCCAGACUCCUACGGGAGGCAGCAGUAGGGAAUCUUCCGCAAUGGGCGAAAGCCUGACGGAGCAACGCCGCGUGAGUGAUGAAGGUCUUCGGAUCGUAAAACUCUGUUAUUAGGGAAGAACAUAUGUGUAAGUAACUGUGCACAUCUUGACGGUACCUAAUCAGAAAGCCACGGCUAACUACGUG
rnacentral:rRNA from 1 species